CAGCCGCCGCGGUAAUACGGAGGGUGCAAGCGUUAAUCGGAAUUACUGGGCGUAAAGCGCACGCAGGCGGUCUGACAAGUCAGAUGUGAAAUCCCCGGGCUUAACCUGGGAACUGCAUUUGAAACUGUCAGGCUGGAGUCUUGUAGAGGGGGGUGGAAUUCCAGGUGUAGCGGUGAAAUGCGUAGAGAUCUGGAGGAAUACCGGUGGCGAAGGCGGCCCCCUGGACAAAGACUGACGCUCAGGUGCGAAAGCGUGGGGAGCAAACAGGAUUAGAUACCCACGUAGUCCCUGUCUCUUAUAC
rnacentral:rRNA from 1 species